UGCAUGAGAGUUGGCACCUUUUGAGUUACCCAGAAUUCCAGGAAAAAGGGGAAGCUGCAACAUUAGCACAAGGCAUUGUGUCGUGUAUCCAUCAAGACAUCCAACCACCAUUCAGCUCAACAAACCAAACCUUGGUUUAGCGUAACCGGAAAGGAAAAAAAAAGUAUGUAGUGUGGGUGCCCAGAAGGAAGACAGACAGUCCAUAAUGGAAGAACCAGGAGAAUGGACUUACCAGGAGCAGAGUCACUCCCUGGUGGUUAUAAAGACUGAAGAAUCAUACUCAAACCCAUGAGAUCCAGGAAGGAAAAUGAUUCUUAAUCUGAAGUUCAUUUCUCAACAUGUCAUUCACAAGGUCAGAGAGGUAUGGGAUCACAAAAAAGUAAAGGUCAUUUAGUCCAUGUAAAGCAGACAUGCUCUAA